AUUGAACGCUGGCGGCAUGCCUUACACAUGCAAGUCGAACGGCAGCACGGGAGCAAUCCUGGUGGCGAGUGGCGAACGGGUGAGUAAUAUAUCGGAACGUGCCCAGUCGUGGGGAUAACGUAGCGAAAGCUACGCUAAUACCGCAUACGAUCUAUGGAUGAAAGCGGGGGAUACGCAAGACCUCGCGCGAUUGGAGCGGCCGAUAUCAGAUUAGGUAGUUGGUGAGGUAAAGGCUCACCAAGCCGACGAUCUGUAGCUGGUCUG
rnacentral:rRNA from 1 species